GCCGCUGGCCGAUGUGCCGAGACAGCCCAUGUGCGAUUCCUGCUGAGCGAACUGCGGAGCGAGAGUAAAACUGGGGCAGUCGGCGCAUGCCCGCAUCCAUCGGGGCGCCACUUGGUCGUUAUCGGCCAUCGCGGACCGCCGCCGAUCUAUCGCCUCUCCACGUCCUACGCACUCCGCACUCGGCGGCGCGCACAUCUGGCCGUUAUUAUGACAUCAAGCACGGAAGAAAACGAUCCGUGGAAUCCUCCAUACCAAUGUACUCAUGGUCCUGCUAAAGACUUGGCUGAGCAUACCAAACUACUCAAGCUGGUGUUGAGUGAGAAAUGUGCUUUGUUUGAGGUCUCGAGAGCAACCAAUACAAUCGUCCCAGACCGUACUCCUGAGUCAGUGAAGGAUGCUUUGGUCGGUAAAUUACCCCGCUUGGUGCCCAUCCUGGAAAAGGAUAGUGUCAGGCUUUUCGUCAAGUUAUUCAAGCAUGACAGUGUGGGCUUGGCUUGGGGUUUCGUCAUAACACCAGGGACCUUCAAUCAGAUGAUCAUGCAAAAUGCCCUGCGAUGUGCGAAAGUUGCUGCAGGGCAAGGUUGGGUUCCGCGCCAAUCCCAACUACAUGAACUCACAUGGGUACUUUCCCCUUCACAAAGCUGCUGAAAUGUUCUCUGCCGACAUGAUCAAGUUGCUCUUCUGCUAUGGCGCAUCGGCCAAUUUGCGCACAGUUGGCCCUGAAGUCAUCGAGGGCCUACUCCCACUACAUGUUGCAGUUGAGAACGCUUGCCAGCAUAAGUUUCUUGAGGAAAACCUGUUACCUGACAAAGGGAAUACCGACCAUGUCUACAGGCUCAUUCAAUUGCUGUGCUUACCUGAAAUGAAGAUCUUCUUAGAUACAGUUAGACUGAUUGCAGAAAGAACAGAUGAUCUACUUGCCGAGCUCUGGAAAUACAUCAAGGACGGAAAGCUUUCCGAAACAGCAGUUUUGCUCCUGGCAGCUCAAAAGAAGAUCCGUACGGUAUCUUAUGAAAAUGGCAAUAUCAAGACAGAUGGGUUUAGUAUUAUCUCUAAUCUUUGUACAGAGAAUGUUGUUGCUAUAGAUUCGGAGAUUGCUCAAAACAGAGCCAGAAAGAAGCAGCAGCUGAAGGCGGACAAAAAGCUUAGGCGUAUGGCAUUGCUGCUUGUUAUUGUAAUUUGUGAAGCUGGCGAAGCUCUUGAUGCAUACAUUCGGGCACAUCCAGAGGGACCCUAUGCCAUGUAGGUGGCUCACGAUGAGGUUCUGCAACAUGUCUCGUCGAUUCUGAAUAACCAUGGUUUUUGUCCUACUGGAGAAUGCAUCAACAUAGAAAAUUUCUGCCCCUAUGAUCAACAAUCGUCCAGGUUGUCCGAUGAAAAGUCGUCCAACAAACAUGAUGGGUUUGCUACAACGGAGAAGGCUGCCAGAAAGAAACAACCUAGAGGAUGGGAGGUUGAACAUGCAAGGAGAAGCUUCAUCCCAUACGGGAAAUCAGUGUUAUUAUCCCAGUUGAAGGCAAAGGUGGUGCCUCCUAGUACCCUGAUAGAAUUGAAAACCAUUAGAGAGAUGAAUGAAAUUCUGAAUAAGGCAGCCGAAGGAUCUUCUCGAAUUCCAAAUAACAAUCUUGGUUUGUCAGGAAGAAUUCCGCGAUUGACAAGUAGUCAUCAAUCCAGAAGGUUGUUUGGUACUGUGGCAUCGACAGCCUUGAAACUGUUAAAGCAUGUAUGAGUUGAGAGGUACUCCC